rnacentral:rRNA from 1 species
UGGGGAAUAUUGCACAAUGGGGGAAACCCUGAUGCAGCGACGCCGCGUGAGUGAAGAAGUAUUUCGGUAUGUAAAGCUCUAUCAGCAGGGAAGAAAAUGACGGUACCUGACUAAGAAGCCCCGGCUAACUACGUGCCAGCAGCCGCGGUAAUACGUAGGGGGCAAGCGUUAUCCGGAUUUACUGGGUGUAAAGGGAGCGUAGACGGUAUGGCAAGUCAGAUGUGAAAGGCUGGGGCUCAACCCCGGGACUGCAUUUGAAACUGUCGAACUAGAGUGUCGGAGGGGUAAGCGGAAUUCCUAGUGUAGCGGUGAAAUGCGUAGAUAUUAGGAGGAACACCAGUGGCGAAGGCGGCUUACUGGACGAUAACUGACGUUGAGGCUCGAAGGCGUGGGGAGCAAACAGGAUUAGAUACCCUGGUA